rnacentral:rRNA from 1 species
GACGAACGCUGGCGGCGUGCUUAACACAUGCAAGUCGAACGGAAAGGCCUGCUUUCCCUUGUGGAUUGCGGGUACUCGAGUGGCGAACGGGUGAGUAACACGUGAGUUAUCUGCCCCCAACUUGGGUAUAAGCCUGGGAAACUGGGUCUAAUUCCCGAUAGGACUGCAGGGUGGUGCCUGUGGUGGAAAACGAUUUUCUAGUGGUUGGGGAUGAGCUCGCGGCCUAUCAGCUUGUUGGUGGGGUAAUGGCCUACCAAGGCGGCGACGGGUAGCCGGCCUGGGAGGGUGGACGGGCACAUUGGGACGGAGAUACGGCCCCGACUCCUACGGGAGGCAGCAGUGGGGAAUAUGGCACAAUGGGCGGAAGCCUGAGGCAGCGACGCCGCGGGGGGGAUGACGGCCUUCGGGUGGUAAACUCCUUUCGACCGCGAGGAAGCCACCUGGUUGGAAGGGUGGUGACGGUAGUGGUAGAAGAAGCACCGGCUAACUACGUG